AUUUCUCAGCCUUUUGGCUAUGAUCAAGUGUGGUAUUUGUUCUUAUCAGUAUUAUAUCUGAUGUUGACCACUGAGUCACAAUAAUAUUUAAUACAUUUUUUAUGGGGGAGGAUUUUCUCCACAGCUACUGGGAUCCUGAAGUGUCGCCCAUGCUUUGCUCUACUCUACAGCCUGACAUGCCCCAU
rnacentral:snRNA from 1 species